rfam:Beauveria bassiana ARSEF 2860 unplaced genomic scaffold BBA_S00007, whole genome shotgun sequence.
GGCGACAUGGCCGAGUGGUUAUGGCGGUCGGUUCAAGAUUUUGCAUCUUGCCCAUUUGAUGGGUUUUAUUCGACUGACGAGAGUCUCGAGGGUUCGAGUCCCUCUGUCGUCA